rnacentral:rRNA from 1 species
UACGGGGGGGGCAAGCGUUGUUCGGAAUUACUGGGCGUAAAGGGCGCGUAGGCGGCCUGCUAAGUCGGACGUGAAAUCCCUCGGCUCAACCGGGGAACUGCGUCCGAUACUGGUGGGCUCGAAUCCGGGAGAGGGAUGUGGAAUUCCAGGUGUAGCGGUGAAAUGCGUAGAUAUCUGGAGGAACACCGGUGGCGAAGGCGGCAUCCUGGACCGGCAUUGACGCUGAGGAGCGAAAGCCAGGGGAGCAAACAGG